GCAUCCGUAGCUCCGCUGGAUAGAGUACUCGGCUACGAACCGAGCGGUCGGAGGUUCGAAUCCUCCCGGAUGCACCA
rnacentral:tRNA from 2 species